rnacentral:rRNA from 1 species
UAAAGGCUACGGCUUACCCGUAGUAAGGCAUUAGAUACUGUUUAUCUGGAAUGCGGUUGAGGGAGACAGAAUUCCUGGUGUAGCGGUGGAAUGCGCAGAGAUCAGGAGGAAUACCGAAGGCGAAGGCAGUCUUCUAAGCCGAAAUUGACGCUAAACUGCGAAGGUGUGGGGAUCAAACAGGAUUAGAUACCCUGGUAGUCCACACAGUAAACGAUAAUCACUAGGUGUUGGGUUCUUAAGAGGACUCGGUGCCGGAGCUAACGCGAUAAGUGAUUCGCCUGGGGAGUACGAUCGCAAGGUUGAAACUCAAAGG